UACAGAUGUCCCAAGCGUUGUUCGGAUUCAUUGGGCGUAAAGGGUGCGUAGGCGGCGCGGUAAGUCGGGUGUGAAAUCUCGGGGCUUAACUCCGAAACUGCAUUCGAUACUGCCGUGCUUGAGGACUGGAGAGGAGACUGGAAUUUACGGUGUAGCGGUGAAAUGCGUAGAUAUCGUAAGGAAGACCAGUGGCGAAGGCGGGUCUCUGGACAGUUCCUGACGCUGAGGCACGAAGGCCAGGGGAGCAAACGGG
rnacentral:rRNA from 1 species